ensembl:lncRNA
CUGAGUUCAUGGCUCCCUGUAUUGACUCCCUCCCACCGCUGGCUUUCACCAAUCGGAGGCCUAUACCAACCAUGUUACGUCCCCCCUCUCAAUUGGCCAUACGCGCUCAGGAUGCACAGCGGUUCAUUGUAUUUUCAUACUUUGUCCCUGCUGAGUGCCCAGUUGCCACAGAGGCCACAGCAGAUGUAUCUACUGGUAAAAGAGAGGACUUAUUGACAGAUACACAUCUUUCCUCAAUGCUGCAUCGAUACCUGCCACACUUCUUUAACGAUGACUCCAUUCCACCACAGCAGACAGUAGAGGGAACCACUGAGCUCUCAGUUGCUCCAGUGGCAAUAUCUAAUAUAAAGGAAGAGGACAGAUUCUAUCCUUUCUCCCUCCCACCACUGGCUCAGCGGUUCGUUGGCAAUUCAUUAAUUGUCCCAGGAACCUCCCAGCCUGCUGUUUCAGCCACAGAGUGCCGAGUUGCCAAAGAGGCCACUGCAGACACAGCCACUGUCAAGAGAGAGAACCGAUGGGCAGCCAGAAGUCUUCCUUCAGUGCUGCCUCCAUGCCUGCCACCAAGUGCCGAGUUGCCAAAGAUGCCACUGCAGACACAGCCACUGUCAAGAGAGAGAACCGAUGGGCAGCCAGAAGUCUUCCUUCAGUGCUGCCUCCAUGCCUGCCACCAGUCUUUGACGAUGACUUCAA